rnacentral:rRNA from 1 species
UACAGAGGGUGCAAGCGUUAAUCGGAAUUACUGGGCGUAAAGCGUGCGUAGUCGGUUAUUUAAGUCGGGCGUGAAAGCCCCGGGCUCAACCUGGGAAUUGCGUUCGAUACUGGAUAGCUAGAGUUCGGCAGAGGGAAGCGGAAUUUCUGGUGUAGCGGUGAAAUGCGUAGAUAUCUGGAGGAACACCGGUGGCGAAGGCGGCAUCCUGGACCAAUUCUGACGCUGAGGAGCGAAAGCCAGGGGAGCAAACGGG